rnacentral:rRNA from 1 species
GGUGAAAGCUUACAGUCUCUUCGGAGCAUUUUACGAGGUGCUGCAUGGUUGUCGUCAGCUCGUGCCGUGAGGUGUCGGGUUAAGUCCCAUAACGAGCGCAACCCCUACCUUAGUUGCCAUCAGGUUAAGCUGGGGACUCUAAAGGAACUGCCUACGCAAGUAGUGAGGAAGCGGGGAUGACGUCAAAUCAGCACGGCCCUUACGUCCAGGGCUACACACGUGCUACAAUGGCCGAUACAGAGGGCAGCUACCUGGUGACAGGAUGCAAAUCUCCAAAGUCGGUCUCAGUUCGGAUCGGAGUCUGCAACCCGACUCCGUGAAGUUGGAUUCGCUAGUAAUCGCGCAUCAGCCAUGGCGCGGUGAAUACGUUCCCGGGCCUU